rnacentral:rRNA from 1 species
UCAAGCUACUAAGAGCAUACGGUGGAUGCCUAGGCGCUAAGAAACGAAGAAGGGCGCGGUAAGCUGCGAAAAGCUACGGUGAGCCGCAAGCAGGCUUUGACCCGUAGAUACCCGAAUGGGGCAACCCAGCCGGAGUCAUAUCCGGCUAUCAUACGAUGAAUCCAUAAUCGUAUGAAGACAACCCGGAGAACUGAAACAUCUAAGUACCCGGAGGAAAAGAAAGUAAAAACGAUUCCCCCAGUAGCGGCGAGCGAACAGGGAAGAGCCUAAACCGGUUGAGAGGUGAGAGGUGGGAAGUUAGAAGUGAGAACACGAAAGAAUUGGCAAAGCCAAUUCCGACAAAAAACUCACAACCCACAUCUCAUUUCUCACCUCUCAACCGGGGUUGUGGGACUCACACCUAGCGAAGCGGAUCUUAGUCGAAGCGGACUGGAAAGUCCCGGCGGAGGAGGUAAAACCCCUGUAGACGAAAAGAUUUGCCAGCGGUGAGUAUCCCGAGUACCACGGGGCACGAGAAAUUCCGUGGGAAUCAGCGAGGACCAUCUCGUAAGGCUAAAUACUCCUUAGCGACCGAUAGUGCAAAAGUACCGUGAGGGAAAGGUGAAAAGUACCCCGGGAGGGGAGUGAAAUAGUACCUGAAACCGUAUGCUUACAAACAGUCAGAGGCGAAAGCUGAUGGCGUGCCUUUUGUAGAAUGAACUGGCGAGUUGCGGUAACAAGCGAGGUUAAGGUGAGAAGCCGGAGCCGAAGCGAAAGCAAGUCUGAAGAGGGCGAAAAGUUUGUUGCCGCAGACCCGAAACCGUGUGAUCUACCCAUGUCCAGGGUGAAGCGUAAGUAAAAUUGCGUGGAGGCCCGAACCUUCUAGCGUUGAAAAGCUAUUGGAUGAGGCGUGGGUAGGGGUGAAAUGCCAAUCGAACACGGAGAUAGCUGGUACUCCUCGAAAUAGCUUUAGGGCUAGCCUCAAGGGAAGAUUUGCGGAGGUAGAGCACUGACUAGGCUAGGGGUCUUCACAGAUUACCGAACCAUCUCAAACUCCGAAUACCGUAAAUCAUCCUUGGGAGUCAGACUGUGGGUGCUAAGAUUCAUAGUCGAAAGGGAAACAGCCCAGACCAACAGCUAAGGUCCCAGAGUGCAGACUAAGUGGAAAAGGAUGUGGAACCGCAAAGACAACCAGGAUGUUGGCUUAGAAGCAGCCAUCAUUCAAAGAGUGCGUAAUAGCUCACUGGUCCAGGGGUUCUGCGCCGAAAAUAUACCGGGGCUCAAGUCAGCCACCGAAGCUUUGGGAUGUUCUUUUGAACAUCGGUAGGGGAGCAUUGUAUCGCCGUUGAAGCUAAAUCGUAAGAUAUAGUGGAGGCUAUACAAGAGAGAAUGCCAGUAUAAGUACACGAAAAGACAAGUGAGAAACUUGUCCGCCGAAAACCUAAGGAUUCCUGGGGAAGGCUCGUCCGCCCAGGGUAAGUCGGGACCUAAGCUGAGGCCGAGAGGCGUAAGCGAUGGAAAAUCGGUUGAAAUUCCGAUACCGCAGCCAACCGUUUGAACGAAGCAGGGACACAGGAAGGUAACCUUAGCGCACCGUUGGUCGAGUGCGCCUAAGUACGCAGGGUGCUGAGCAGUAAAAUACACUCAGCGGAAGCCCGAAGUACGAAUGGGAGGGAAACUAAGUACCGAAGAAGGUGACCCUAUACUGUCAAGAAAAGCUGCUAGUGAGGUUGAAUGCGCCCGUACCGUAAACCGACACAGGUAGGUGGGGUGAGAAACCCAAGGCGCGCGAGAAAACCCUCGUUAAGGAACUCGGCAAAAUGGCCCCGUAACUUCGGGAGAAGGGGUGCCUCCAGAAAUGGAGGCCGCAGAGAAGAGGCCCAGGCGACUGUUUAACAAAAACACAGGUGCUUGCCAAAACGAAAGUUGACGUAUAAGUGCUGACGCCUGCCCGGUGCUGGAAGGUUAAGGGGAGAAGUUAGUCGCAAGACGAAGCUUAGAACCGAAGCCCCAGUAAACGGCGGCCGUAACUAUAACGGUCCUAAGGUAGCGAAAUUCCUUGUCGGGUAAGUUCCGACCCGCACGAAAGGCGUAACGAUCUGGGCACUGUCUCAACGAGGGACUCGGUGAAAUUGUAAUACCGGUGAAGAUGCCGGUUACCUGCGAUAGGACAGAAAGACCCCAUGGAGCUUUACUGUAGCUUGAUAUUGGAUUUUGGUAGUUGAUGUACAGGAUAGGUGGGAGACUAAGAAGGCAGGUCGCAAGGCUUGCUGGAGUCAAUGGUGGGAUACCACUCUUGAAUUGCUGAAAUUCUAACCUUGUCCCGUAAACCGGGUCAGGGACAGUGUCAGGCGGGCAGUUUGACUGGGGCGGUCGCCUCCCAAAGAGUAACGGAGGCGCCCAAAGGUUCCCUCAGCGCGGACGGAAAUCGCGCGAAGAGUGUAAAGGCAAAAGGGAGCUUGACUGCGACACCAACAAGUGGAGCAGGGACGAAAGUCGGGCUUAGUGAUCCGGUGGCACCGCAUGGAAGGGCCAUCGCUCAACGGAUAAAAGCUACCCUGGGGAUAACAGGCUUAUCUCCCCCAAGAGUCCACAUCGACGGGGAGGUUUGGCACCUCGAUGUCGGCUCAUCGCAUCCUGGAGCUGUAGUAGGUUCCAAGGGUUGGGCUGUUCGCCCAUUAAAGCGGUACGUGAGCUGGGUUCAGAACGU